GCAAGAUCCAGACUUCUAGCUCCAAGGUCAAGUUCACACAUAGAGGUCAAAGGUUAACAUGGUCUUGCUUCUUGUCCUGUCCAUUGCUCUGCCAUUUGUCAAGGAAUUUUAAAAUCACUUAGCACAAAUAUUCCUCAUUAAGAGGCAAUGUGUCAUGUGCAAGACCAGGCCCCUGUUUCAACGGUCAAGGUCACAGUUAGAUGUUAACUUGACUUAAACAGUCACAAAAACAAAUUAUUUUGUUGCAUGUAAGACUCAGACAUCUAAUGCAAGGUCAGUGUCACCUAUUUGGAUUUUUGGUAAUUUUUGUCUGCUCAGUAACUUUUUGAUGCAGUGGUGUUGGUAUAAAUAUUCACCAUUACAAGACAUAUACAUAUACAAAUUUGAGGUCACAGGCACCCCAGUUAAUUUCUUUUUUUCUGUUUGUACAUGAAAUUACUUCCCUUUUUAUGAUAAAGUACAAUACAUAUGUAUUUAUAUCAGUUUUCCCAGUACAUUUGUUAUUUAAAAAUGAAAGUAAGAUAAUUUGUAUUGAUAGACUGUUUAGUACUAUAUAAACGUCAUGUAUUUCACUUGUUUAUUAAUUACCUCCCUUUAAUAUGACAAAAUAUUUCAUUUUAUUUUAAUUAAUUUCUUUUCUUAUUUAAAGAUAAAAAUACAGUAAACCAUUACAAUUCAUAUAUAAGCAUUUGAAAGCAUUCACAAAUUAUAGAUUUCCAGACAUUUUCAAACUACAUAACGUCUGUGUAAAUUUUCUGAUAUAUAGUUUUGAUUUACAUACAUCUAUAGUAUAGAAGAAGACAUUGUGAUUGUAUGCAAUAUGUUUUGUGAAAAAUGUCCCUAAGCCAGGGACCUUUGCUACAAAUUUUUGUUGUUUUCUACAAGUAACUGAUAACUUCUUCACAUGAUCUAGGGAGUAAACUUAACCUUGAUGUUUUGCCUUACAGACAGCCAAACAUCUUCUCCAAGAUUCCAUGCAGCAACCUUCUGAUAGAAAGAUGUACCUGUCGUGCAAAGGUAUAAGCUGGCUUGGUAACAGGUUUGAGACAACGACAAUGGCCUUUAGACAAUUUUGGCUAGGCCACAAAAGUUGCCCUUUGGCAGUCUGAUGAUAAAGUGACUUGAAACAGUCAAACUAAGCAGAACAUGCCAGGUUCUGACGUAAAAAGGCGAAAUCACAAAAAAAAAUUCUGGGCCUUCACCUGGACACAGUCGCACAACUUUAGCCGAUACAACUAGUACGUCAAAGUCACAGUCCACUUCCGGCGGAACUAACCGAUCUUUCUGGGAAACAUCAGACUCUGGAGUGCCCUCUAGUAGUUCGUCUGCAUUCCUGAAAAGCUGGUGCCAAAGCGCCACCUGGAAGAAUGAGACAAACGUCACAGUCUAACCUCGGGGAAAUCAACCGCAAACUCAAUCAUUUAGUAAACCCAAUGCAAAUUUUUGAAUAUCAACUCUUUGAUACUGAAGACAAUAUACUGUUGUUGCCUGGGCAUCUCAACCAUGCCGGAACUGGUUCGCCCUCCUACAACUAUUCAAGCCUUCAAAUUAUAUCGCGAGAUUUCUCGAUAAAAUGUGUCUUCACAUAUAAGUGACUGUGCUCAUGUUUUUUCUGACUGGUGAAAACUUGUUUUGAGAUUUACUACUUGCAAGUUUUAAAUAAUUCACUCGGGCUACAUGCUGGUGAAGUUAUUACGCUCGACGUGUAACUGCUGAUUGUGUAUAAAUUGUGUUCUUUUAUGGAAAAGAAUAGGGCGAAUGUAAAUAUCUAGAAAUGAUGCUUUCAGAUUCAUUGUUGAUAAAAAAAGUUUACGUAAUAGCAUGUUGAAAACUAAAUUUCACAUUGCACAACUGUCUUGAUUCGUUGGCACAUAUUCUGGGUUGUUGUUUUUUCGCUUUGAUGAAUAGUUUAAUUGCUAUCAUUUUCGUCAAAAUUUAAAUCUCCCACAAGACGUAUUACCACUUCCGGUUUUGGACCAUAUACAGUUCAUAAACAAAGUAGCAUGACAACCUAUCAAUUUGCGCCAUACAUGAAAGAAGAAAUAGUUCUGUCGUAUUUGAUCUAUAAUUUACAGUAACAGACAAAUUAGCCUGAGAGUCAAAAUAAUUUAUAGCUAAACCAUGUUUUCAUACUGUAUAUACACUCUGGCUGCACCCUCGUGAAAUUAUUACACCCGAUGCAUUACCGCCUAUUAUUUAUAAAUAGUGUUUCAUAGAAGAACAUGGAUUUGCUAGAUUAUUUCUUGAAAAGCUAUGAAUAAGAUACACUACAUUACUGACGCGAAUAAGUAAGGUGGAUUUAUAAUGUUGCCCUGUAUUAAAUUCUGUUAAACGUACAUUAUAAGUGAUAAGUCGAUAUAUAAAUCUAUGUAUUAUACAUGUCUUGAUUAUAUUUGAUAAAAUACAUAUAUGAAUCUU